GAUGAACGCUGGCGGCGUGCCUAAUACAUGCAAGUCGAACGGAGAACUUUGUAGCAAUACAGAGGUUUCUUAGUGGCGAACGGGUGAGUAACGCGUUGGUGACCUGCCCCGAAGUGCGGGAUAACAGUCCGAAAGGAUUGCUAAUACCGCAUGUGGUUUUCGGAUUUAGAAACCGAUCUCUAAAGCAGUAAUGCGCUUCGGGAGGGGCCUGCGUCCCAUCAGCUAGUUGGGAGGUAACGGCUCACCAAGGCUACGACGGGUAGGGGACCUGA
rnacentral:rRNA from 1 species